GCUUGCUCUCGGGUGACGAGCGGCGGACGGGUGAGUAAUGUCUGGGAAACUGCCUGAUGGAGGGGGAUAACUACUGGAAACGGUAGCUAAUACCGCAUAAUGUCGCAAGACCAAAGUGGGGGACCUUCGGGCCUCAUGCCAUCAGAUGUGCCCAGAUGGGAUUAGCUAGUAGGUGGGGUAAUGGCUCACCUAGGCGACGAUCCCUAGCUGGUCUGAGAGGAUGACCAGCCACACUGGAACUGAGACACGGUCCAGACUCCUACGGGAGGCAGCAGUGGGGAAUAUUGCACAAUGGGCGCAAGCCUGAUGCAGCCAUGCCGCGUGUGUGAAGAAGGCCUUCGGGUUGUAAAGCACUUUCAGCGGGGAGGAAGGCGUUAAGGUUAAUAACCUUGUCGAUUGACGUUACCCGCAGAAGAAGCACCGGCUAACUCCGUGCCAGCAGCCGCGGUAAUACGGAGGGUGCAAGCGUUAAUCGGAAUUACUGGGCGUAAAGCGCACGCAGGCGGUCUGUCAAGUCGGAUGUGAAAUCCCCGGGCUCAACCUGGGAACUGCAUUCGAAACUGGCAGGCUAGAGUCUUGUAGAGGGGGGUAGAAUUCCAGGUGUAGCGGUGAAAUGCGUAGAGAUCUGGAGGAAUACCGGUGGCGAAGGCGGCCCCCUGGACAAAGACUGACGCUCAGGUGCGAAAGCGUGGGGAGCAAACAGGAUUAGAUACCCUGGUAGUCCACGCCGUAAACGAUGUCGAUUUGGAGGUUGUGCCCUUGAGGCGUGGCUUCCGGAGCUAACGCGUUAAAUCGACCGCCUGGGGAGUACGGCCGCAAGGUUAAAACUCAAAUGAAUUGACGGGGGCCCGCACAAGCGGUGGAGCAUGUGGUUUAAUUCGAUGCAACGCGAAGAACCUUACCUGGUCUUGACAUCCACAGAACUUUCCAGAGAUGGAUUGGUGCCUUCGGGAACUGUGAGACAGGUGCUGCAUGGCUGUCGUCAGCUCGUGUUGUGAAAUGUUGGGUUAAGUCCCGCAACGAGCGCAACCCUUAUCCUUUGUUGCCAGCGGUUAGGCCGGGAACUCAAAGGAGACUGCCAGUGAUAAACUGGAGGAAGGUGGGGAUGACGUCAAGUCAUCAUGGCCCUUACGACCAGGGCUACACACGUGCUACAAUGGCAUAUACAAAGAGAAGCGACCUCGCGAGAGCAAGCGGACCUCAUAAAGUAUGUCGUAGUCCGGAUUGGAGUCUGCAACUCGACUCCAUGAAGUCGGAAUCGCUAGUAAUCGUAGAUCAGAAUGCUACGGUGAAUACGUUCCCGGGCCUUGUACACACCGCCCGUCACACCAUGGGAGUGGGUUGCAAAAGAAGUAGGU
rnacentral:rRNA from 1 species